GUGCUUGCUUCGGCAGCACAUAUACUAAAAUUGGUUCGAUACAGAGAAGAUUAGCAUGGGCCCUUCGCAAAGAUGACACACAAAUAACAAACCUGGAUAGGAUGGAG